ACCGUGUAAAGCUAGUGGAAAAAGAGAAGAAUGCUUUGGAGGGAGAAAAGAACAAAGCUGUGGAGUUCCUCACCCUGGAGAACGACAUCUUCAAACACAGGAAUCAGCUCUUCCAAUAUUAUAUUCAUGAUAUGCAGAAGCAUGUGGUGGAAAAAGAGCAGGAAAAGCAGAAGAUCUUGGAG